rnacentral:lncRNA from 1 species
CGAGGUCCAGAGUCAUANGUUUUAACCCUAUUGUUUAUUUAUUUUAAUUCAAAACUAGUAGUUUAGUAUUUCUUGUGUUUCUUGAUUUAUUAAUUUUUUGAUCUCAAUCAGAUAAUUAGUUGCUUGUUAUAGUGUUAGCAGACUCACAAUAAAUUUAAAACAUGGCUAAAUUAACAUAUGUACAAUAGGUGUUAUGAAUAACAUUUAUCAUGUCAUUCGAAUUCAGGCUUGAAAUAGAUUUGGGUCAUGUCGAGGAUAGAAUUAAUUUAUCUUGAAAAAGAAAGUUAAAUACCUUAAUUUUAUAUAUUGUCAAAAACGCAUGAAUAUGACUAGAUUACAAAUUAAGAAUUGAAAUAGAUAAUAAUAAGCGGACUCUAGAUCCAAUAAAAUCAUCCAUAAGUUGAUACACAAAUAAUUUUUACCACUUUUUAAGAUAAUUUAGCAUAAAAUCAAAUCAAAAAUCUCGCUUUUGUUUAUAUAAUUUAAAUUUCAUAUAAGUAAACUUGAAUUAAAAUUUAUUUUCUAUGAUACUAUAACUCAUCAAAUCUAUUGCUUGACAACGAUUCCGUACGCUUGCGAAAUUUUAUUGAACAACGUUCAUAGACUUACAUUAGGUUUUCUAAUAACUUGGGCAUUCAGAUUUUACAAGCCCAAAACCCUAGCACUCACACACUUCUUUCAAUCAUCUCUAGCAUCACUUUACUCCCUUUUAUCUUUCCUAGAAUAACUAGAUUUACCUUUAAACUUAUCAGGAAGUCUCUUGUUCUUCCGAAGGAAUUUCUUAAAUUUCCAAGUAAGGUAAGGAAGCUCAUUAUCCUUGGGUUUGUUAUCAUCAGUAGUGUCACAAUCUGCUUCCUUAGGUUUGUUCUGCUUCCUCAGGUUUGUUCUGCUUCCUCAUCCUUAGGUUUGUCAUCAUUAGUAGUAUCACAAUUUGCUUCCUUAUCUUUAGGUUUGUCAUCAUCAUCUUCCUCAUCCUUAGGUUUGUUCUUGUUAGACUAAGGUAGGAGUUUAUAUGUUUGGAGAGCUCUUUUAUCUUAAUAGCAUCUAGGUCUUUGCUUUCCUCAAUAGCUAUGGCCUUAGCUCUAAAUCUCUCAAGUAGAGAUCUCAUAAGUUUCCUCACUAUCUUAGCAUUAGGGAUUCAGUCGCUUAUGUUGAAACUAGAGUUGACUAUAUCAUUCAAUUUAGCAUACAAAUCGUCAAAAGACUCAUCAUCUUUCAUCAUAGUUUCCUCAAAUCCUGUAGUCAACAUCUCCAAUUGAGAGAUUCAAUGGUCUUGAUUCCCCCAUGCAUUGUUUCUGAUAUAUUCCAAACAUCUUUUGCAGUGUCACGGAUGGAAACUUGUUUAAACUCCUCAGGCGAAAUAGUCAUAAAUAUGGAAUUUAUCCCUAUACUAUUCAAAAUACACUCAUCUAUAUCAUUAUUAGACCAAGAAGAAACCUCGGUAUGGGUAAGUAAACUGCAACAGAUGCAGCUGGGACUGUCCAAUGUUUAUUUACUCUAAUCUAAACCUGUUCAUCCUAGACAUAAGAAAGACUCUCAUUCUAACCUUCCAAUACGUAUAAUUACUACCAUCAAAGAAUUAGCUCAUCUAGACAAAUAAGGUCAAGGAUCGCAAUUAAGAGCUGAUACCACUUGUUAGAAACACAUAUUACUUCGUUUAAACCCAAAUAUGCGAAAUUUUCCACUAAAAAGCAAUACAUAGCUUAUUUAUUAUUUCUAGAUGACUAAAGUUAAGUACAAUUUAAAUUCCAAGUUAAACAAUCACGGACAUAUAGAUUUAAAGCAUAAAAACUAAAUAACACCAGAAAUUUAUGAAGAAGGAAAAUUCCUUGAAGAACUCUUUACAAGGAUAAAAAACCUUUCGAGAAAACAUUGUCAAAAAUUCCACUAGAAAAGCUAAUUUACUAUUGAUCCAUACAUUGCCAAACUUUAACUCUAACCACCUAACUUGUAAAUUAUCGAAGAACUCUUCAAUUGUGCAAUUGGCGCUUUCCAGCAACUCUGGAAUACCUUUUUUUGUCAAAAAUGAAUUCAAGACUCUAAAGGCUUAUGAGUGAAGGAAAAAAAUUUUGACAUUUGACUUUUUCAAUCUUAAGGCUCAACCAAUAAUUCAAAAUGUUUGGGAUAAAUUGAUGUUAAAUCAAGAGAUCUUUGGAAUGUGUUUAUGAUCUUUGAAUAGGAUUGAAAAAUCAGCAAAAAAUCCCGAUCUAGGAUCUCUGUACGUCUCAUUACCGCUCAAGUGCUACCUUUGCGCUAAUCAAGUAGUAAGCUGAUAAGUGUAUUUUAUACACUUAUUUGAUGCCUAAAAUAACGGUGUUUAAUAGUUCUUUUGACAAAAUAUAUCCUAAAUUGUUAUAUUUUAUGUUUAAUAGGUAAAUUCAAUGGAUGGAAAAAGGAAUUGAAGAAAAGAAGCAAAAAUUGAUGGAAAAUGGCAAAAUUCAAAGUAUGAGGACUACAUUGCAUUAACUUGAAAGAUUGGAUGGCUUGAUGGAAAUAAUAAAUUAAUUGGGUCUUAAGUGGAUGUGGAAUUAGAGUCAAAUUGCAUAAUUAAUUGAGGUUUUAAUGGGAUUCCAACAGGAUUUGGGGACUGUCUAGAGUCCUUUUGAAAGUAAAAUAUUGGGUUGCUAGGUUAAUCUUGUGUUGGAGGAAUUAAAGGGGCAGCCACUAUAAAUACACGUGCAGACCUAGAAAAAAAAGGGAGAGUCGGUGGGGAGAAAAUUGGACUCCAAUUUGGAGUCAAUUAUUGUGGCUCUAACACGCAGAAAACCGAGAGGAGGAAUAGAAGCUACCAGCGUGAUGUGAUACGAGUUUCGCCAAAACGAACCAAAACAGUGGAGUUUGACUAGAAGAAACCUAAACCAAGUUCGGGUCUUCGGGAAGCUAAUACGGGUGGCACAAUUGAUGGAUAGAGGCACGGAGCAUACUAUAUUGAAGUCCAUGAGCUAAGUGACAACUUUCGUGUUGGGGUCGAAGUCCGAAGGCCUAUGAAACAACGUGAUUCAAGCAGUCAAAAAGGGACCAAACCAUAACUCCAUACGACCGCACCGUGUCACAGGCAUGCGGUCGCACAGGUGGCUACCGAAACUUGAGAGGCAGCAACAUCUUCAACCAUGCGACCGCACCAAGUUCCACCAUGCGAUUGCAUGGGCAAAACUGAAGAAACGAAUUUCCAAUUUUUGCGAAAAUUUUAAUUUAAUUCAAUUUCUUAUUUUUGGCAAGUUUCAUUAUUUUAGGACUCUAGAAUUUUGUGGUUUCCUUGUUUUCCUAGGGUAGUAUAAAUUAUUUUCUAUCUUUCAUUAUUGAGGAGACUUUAAUUUGAGAAUUAAUUCCAAGAGGCGAUUUGCUUUCAAACCUUUGUUCUUCGGGACUUUGAGCUUAUCAAGGGAUCCUGUUGGGAUUUCUUGUGACGUUCGCAACCUUGGGUGAGGUUCUUAAACUGUGUGAUUAGGAGGUCUUUAAUUUAAUAUAUCGUUGGUUGCCUAAUUCAUCGUUUAAGAAUUAAAUCCGUAAACUUCGAAUCAAAUUGACGUUCUUGGGAUUGGUGUUACUCUUAUAUGGGUUCGAUAGUGUUCGUUGCUAUUCGGGUUUGCAUCACAGCGGUUGUCAUUAUAUUUACACACACACAAAUAGACGGCAGCUUGGUAGGCAGAAUUGAGGAGACUCCAGCUGGGAUUACAAUUAAUUGCAGGUGCCUACUGGGUGCUGAAAUAAAUUUGAAAACACACAGAAAUUCAACCGGCUAUUUGAGGAAUUAAUUGGCAGUAGCUUGGGUUCUCUCCAAAUUCAAUUAUUGUAGCUGUUAAGAGAUUGAAUUGGUAGCAACAAGGCAGUGGACGACUAGAUAGAAAAACAACAAACGGCAUAUUUACUUCGAAAAUUAUUAAUGUUCCGCCAAUUCUCGGUGAUGUCUUCCAUAAUUUAUCAUUUUUCUUCCAUUACUAUGAAUAGUUAAAUUUGAUUUUAGGGCGAACAAUGUAAUCUUUUGGAAUCCUUUAUUUCAUGUAAUUGAGAUUCUAGUGCUUUUAUAUUUUAUGUGUUGAUUUUAAUGUUGUUCUUAAUGCA